rnacentral:misc_RNA from 1 species
UUUCCGUAGGUGAACCUGCGGAAGGAUCAUUAUUGUAUAACCGAGGUGCGAGGGCUGUCGAUGACCCGAAAGGUCGUGCACGCCCGAGUGCCCUCACACACAUCCAUCUCACCCCUAUGUGCACCACCGCGUGGGUCCCCCUUUGGCUUGUUCGGAGGGGGGCUUACGUGUUCACACAAACUUUGUAUGCAGUGUAGAAUGUAUUUUUUGUUUUUGCGAUCACGCAAUCAAUACAACUUUCAACAACGGAUCUCUUGGCUCUC